UGGCAGGCGGGUAAAAACACUAGUCGCCACUACGAUUUUCGAAGGUUCUCCUCGAUUUCUUUAGGAUGCCAUCAUCUGAGCCUGAUUUCCUUAUCAUGGUACCACACUUGGGAUAUCUCAUUUCUAACAAAAAAAUAAUUACCA